AAUGAACGUUGGCGGCGUGGAUUAGGCAUGCAAGUCGAGCGGAAAGGCCCGCAAGGGCACUCGAGCGGCGUAAGGGACAGUAAUGUGUAGGUACGUACCCCUGGGUCUAGGAUAGCUGCGGGAAACUGCAAUUAAUACUAGAUGAUGUCUUCGGACCAAAGGUGUGAUUCCACCCAGGGAGCGGCCUACAUCCUAUUAGCUAGUUGGUGAGGUGACGGCUCACCAAGGCGAAGAUGGGUAGCAGGUGUGAGAGCACGACCUGCGUCACUGGGACUGAGACACUGCACAGACACCUACGGGUGGCUGCAGUCGAGAAUCUUCGGCAAUGGGCGAAAGCCUGACCGAGCGACGCGGCGUGCGGGAUGAAGGCCGUCGGGUUGUAAACCGCUGUCGGAGGGGAUGAAAUGCCGAUGGGUACUCCCAACGGCUUGACUGAUCCUCGGAGGAAGGGUGGGCUAAGUUCGUG
rnacentral:rRNA from 1 species